GGUUAAGCGACUAAGCGUACACGGUGGAUGCCCUGGCAGUCAGAGGCGAUGAAGGACGUGCUAAUCUGCGAAAAGCGCCGGCGAGGUGAUAUGAACCUUUGACCCGGCGAUGUCCGAAUGGGGAAACCCAGUGUGUUCCGACACACUAUCGUUAACUGAAUACAUAGGUUAACGAGGCGAACCGGGGGAACUGAAACAUCUAAGUACCCCGAGGAAAAGAAAUCAACCGAGAUUCCCCCAGUAGCGGCGAGCGAACGGGGAGCAGCCCGGAGUCUGAAUCAGCUUGUGUGUUAGUGGAACGGUCUGGAAAGUCCGACGGUACAGGGUGAUAGUCCCGUACACGAAAAUGCACAUGCUGUGAACUCGAAGAGUAGGGCGGGACACGUGGUAUCCUGUCUGAAUAUGGGGGGACCAUCCUCCAAGGCUAAAUACUCCUGACUGACCGAUAGUGAACCAGUACCGUGAGGGAAAGGCGAAAAGAACCCCGGCGAGGGGAGUGAAAAAGAACCUGAAACCGUGUACGUACAAGCAGUGGGAGCACCUUCGGGUGUGACUGCGUACCUUUUGUAUAAUGGGUCAGCGACUUAUAUUCUGUAGCAAGGUUAACCGUAUAGGGGAGCCGAAGGGAAACCGAGUCUUAACUGGGCGUUAAGUUGCAGGGUAUAGACCCGAAACCCGGUGAUCUAGCCAUGGGCAGGUUGAAGGUUGGGUAACACUAACUGGAGGACCGAACCGACUAAUGUUGAAAAAUUAGCGGAUGACCUGUGGCUGGGGGUGAAAGGCCAAUCAAACCGGGAGAUAGCUGGUUCUCCCCGAAAGCUAUUUAGGUAGCGCCUCGUGAACUCAUCUUCGGGGGUAGAGCACUGUUUCGGCUAGGGGGCCAUCCCGGCUUACCAACCCGAUGCAAACUACGAAUACCGAAGAAUGUUAUCACGGGAGACACACGGCGGGUGCUAACGUCCGUCGUGAAGAGGGAAACAACCCAGACCGCCAGCUAAGGUCCCAAAGUCAUGGUUAAGUGGGAAACGAUGUGGGAAGGCACAGACAGCCAGGAUGUUGGCUUAGAAGCAGCCAUCAUUUAAAGAAAGCGUAAUAGCUCACUGGUCGAGUCGGCCUGCGCGGAAGAUGUAACGGGGCUAAACCAUGCACCGAAGCUGCGGCAGCGACGCUUAUGCGUUGUUGGGUAGGGGAGCGUUCUGUAAGCCGUUGAAGGUGUGCUGUGAGGCAUGCUGGAGGUAUCAGAAGUGCGAAUGCUGACAUAAGUAACGAUAAAGCGGGUGAAAAGCCCGCUCGCCGGAAGACCAAGGGUUCCUGUCCAACGUUAAUCGGGGCAGGGUGAGUCGACCCCUAAGGCGAGGCCGAAAGGCGUAGUCGAUGGGAAACAGGUUAAUAUUCCUGUACUUGGUGUUACUGCGAAGGGGGGACGGAGAAGGCUAUGUCAGCCGGGCGACGGUUGUCCCGGUUUAAGCAUGUAGGCGGAGGUUCCAGGUAAAUCCGGUACCUUAUUAACGCUGAGGUGUGAUGACGAGGCACUACGGUGCUGAAGUGAUAAAUGCCCUGCUUCCAGGAAAAGCCUCUAAGCAUCAGGUAACACGAAAUCGUACCCCAAACCGACACAGGUGGUCAGGUAGAGAAUACCAAGGCGCUUGAGAGAACUCGGGUGAAGGAACUAGGCAAAAUGGUGCCGUAACUUCGGGAGAAGGCACGCUGAUAUGUAGGUGAAGCCCCUGCGGGCGGAGCUGAAAUCAGUCGAAGAUACCAGCUGGCUGCAACUGUUUAUUAAAAACACAGCACUGUGCAAACACGAAAGUGGACGUAUACGGUGUGACGCCUGCCCGGUGCCGGAAGGUUAAUUGAUGGGGUUAGCGGCAACGCGAAGCUCUUGAUCGAAGCCCCGGUAAACGGCGGCCGUAACUAUAACGGUCCUAAGGUAGCGAAAUUCCUUGUCGGGUAAGUUCCGACCUGCACGAAUGGCGUAAUGAUGGCCAGGCUGUCUCCACCCGAGACUCAGUGAAAUUGAACUCGCUGUGAAGAUGCAGUGUACCCGCGGCAAGACGGAAAGACCCCGUGAACCUUUACUAUAGCUUGACACUGAACACUGGUCCUUGAUGUGUAGGAUAGGUGGGAGGCUUUGAAGCGUGGACGCCAGUCUGCGUGGAGCCGCCCUUGAAAUACCACCCUUUAAUGGCUGGUGUUCUAACGUAGACCCGUGAUCCGGGUUGCGGACAGUGUCUGGUGGGUAGUUUGACUGGGGCGGUCUCCUCCCAAAGAGUAACGGAGGAGCACGAAGGUUGGCUAAUCCUGGUCGGACAUCAGGAGGUUAGUGCAAUGGCAUAAGCCAGCUUGACUGCGAGCGUGACGGCGCGAGCAGGUGCGAAAGCAGGUCAUAGUGAUCCGGUGGUUCUGAAUGGAAGGGCCAUCGCUCAACGGAUAAAAGGUACUCCGGGGAUAACAGGCUGAUACCGCCCAAGAGUUCAUAUCGACGGCGGUGUUUGGCACCUCGAUGUCGGCUCAUCACAUCCUGGGGCUGAAGUAGGUCCCAAGGGUAUGGCUGUUCGCCAUUUAAAGUGGUACGCGAGCUGGGUUUAGAACGUCGUGAGACAGUUCGGUCCCUAUCUGCCGUGGGCGCUGGAGAAUUGAGGGGGGCUGCUCCUAGUACGAGAGGACCGGAGUGGACGCAUCACUGGUGUUCGGGUUGUCAUGCCAAUGGCACUGCCCGGUAGCUAAAUGCGGAAGAGAUAAGUGCUGAAAGCAUCUAAGCACGAAACUUGCCCCGAGAUGAGUUCUCCCUGAGACUUUAAGUCUCCUGAAGGAACGUUGAAGACGACGACGUUGAUAGGUCGGGUGUGUAAGCGCAGCGAUGCGUUGAGCUAACCGAUACUAAUGAACCGUGAGGCUUAACCUU
rnacentral:rRNA from 1 species